rnacentral:lncRNA from 1 species
UGGCUCCCUCCAAUGAACACACUACUUUUCACUGAUAAGGAAUUCAUAUUGUUAAACUCUACAUGAACUCAAAAAAUAUUAAUGUGUAAAUGCUUACCAGCAAAUACGAACAGCAAAUGUCAGAGAAAAUUUAAUAAUUGAGCAUAAUAAAAUAAGCUUGUUUUUGGAAUCUUGCUUUAUAUGUUUCUGAAAGAACAAUCACUCUUACAAAAUCUAAGUCAGGAAUGAAAUGUAGUGUAUGGCUAAUUGAGAAAGGAUCGAUGGAUUUAGCAAAGCCAUAGUAGUUCUUCUGAAGAAACAGUAGUUUAAAGUAGUGUUGAUUUAACAGUGUGCUUGGUUUAUCUGCCUGUCUGCCUUGUGAGGGACAGAACAUUUAAUACAAUGCUGUGGUAAAGAUUUGACCUUGAUGAGAGGUAUGGUUGGUCAACUGAUCUCUUGUGUAAGGCUCCGAGUGAGGAAAGAUGUUUAUCAGAAAUGAAUGCUGACAAAACCUUUGUGUCACUGUAGCCUACCAUGACAUACUUCAUCUACACAAAUGACUUCACAUUUGUUAUGUUAGAAAUGGUUUAUAACAUUAAAAUACAUGAAUAGUACUAUUCUUUGUUUGUCUAUCUAAAUGAAUCAAUGAUGACUCAAUUAGCUCCAGCCUACCCCCGCUUCCUGUGAAGGAGCAAAGGAAAGACAAACGGCAGCAACUCCACAGCCAGGCACAUACUGAGGAAUGCAGCUCAUGGGUAUGUCUGAAGAAGGUGAAGUGAGGAAGUGAGGAAGUAAAUAAAUAUAGAAAAAGGAAAUAAAGUAUCACAAAACUGGAGCAGAUAAAACAGGGAACUGACACGGGGUAUACUGUAAGACACAGGUGUUCAGGGCUGCAGAGGAUCCUAUCUUCAUGUUGAUCCUGCAGGAAGCCCAGCAGAAACCUGAGGAUGAGUGGAACUACCACCACUGUGACAUUUAUGCCACAUUGUGCUUUCCUUCUCAGCAGGAACUAUGUGUUAUUCCAGUUACUUUAAAACUGUCCUGUGCUCCUGUGCUGUUUACAUGGCAUGCACCAGUACUGCAAUAUACAGAAACUUCCACUCUCUUUUCAGUUUUCUUGGAUCAGGUUGAAACACUCAUCAUUGUCAUCGUCGUCAGCACUGUCAGACGUCAAGUGCCCUGGUUUGAAGUCAGCAGAUACUCCUCCUGUCUGGGCCAGCAGCACUGCCAGCAACGCCCUGGUGAUCCUAGCCUCCUGAGUGCCAGUCUUUGUGAGACUGCUAGCCAUGUUUGA